GUAAAGCGCACGCAGGCGGUUUGUUAAGUCAGAUGUGAAAUCCCCGGGCUCAACCUGGGAACUGCAUCUGAUACUGGCAAGCUUGAGUCUCGUAGAGGGGGGUAGAAUUCCAGGUGUAGCGGUGAAAUGCGUAGAGAUCUGGAGGAAUACCGGUGGCGAAGGCGGCCCCCUGGACGAAGACUGACGCUCAGGUGCGAAAGCGUGGGGAGCAAACAGGAUUAGAUACCCUGGUAGUCCACGCCGUAAACGAUGUCGACUUGGAGGUUGUGCCCUUGAGGCGUGGCUUCCGGAGCUAACGCGUUAAGUCGACCGCCUGGGGAGUACGGCCGCAAGGUUAAAACUCAAAUGAAUUGACGGGGGCCCGCACAAGCGGUGGAGCAUGUGGUUUAAUUCGAUGCAACGCGAAGAACC
rnacentral:rRNA from 1 species